rnacentral:rRNA from 1 species
ACGUAGGGGGCUAGCGUUGUCCGGAUUUAUUGGGCGUAAAGAGCGUGUAGGCGGCCAGGUAGGUCUGCUGUGAAAACUCUAGGCUUAACCUCGAGCUGUCGGCGGAAACCAUCUGGCUAGAGUCCGGAAGAGGAGAAUGGAAUUCCCGGUGUAGCGGUGAAAUGCGCAGAUAUCGGGAAGAACACCCGUGGCGAAGGCGGCAUCCUGGACCAAUAUUGACGCUGAGGAGCGAAAGCCAGGGGAGCAAACGGGA